GUCCUUGCCGUAAACGAUGUAUACUUGAUGUAGUUAGGCUCAACCCUGACUGUGUCGAAGCUAACGCGAUAAGUAUACCGCCUGGGGAGUACGCUCGCAAGGGUGAAACUCAAAAGAAUUGACGGGGGCCCCGCACAAGCAGUGGAGCAUGUGGUUUAAUUCGAUGCAACGCGAAGAACCUUACCCAGGCUCGAAAUGUAGAGGACGAUACUAGAGAUAGUAUUUUCCGUAAGGACUUCUAUAUAGGUGCUGCAUGGCUGUCGU
rnacentral:rRNA from 1 species